UACGUAGGGUGCGAGCGUUGUCCGGAAUUAUUGGGCGUAAAGAGCUCGUAGGCGGUUUGUCGCGUCGGCCGUGAAAACUUGGGGCUUAACCCCAAGCCUGCGGUCGAUACGGGCAGACUUGAGUUCGGCAGGGGAGACUGGGAUUCCUGGUGUAGCGGUGAAAUGCGCAGAUAUCAGGAGGAACACCGGUGGCGAAGGCGGUUCUCUGGGCAUGUCCUGACGCUGAGGAGCGAAAGUGUGGGGAGCGAACAGG
rnacentral:rRNA from 1 species